rnacentral:lncRNA from 1 species
GCCGAGCCUCGUGGCGGCAGGUAACGUUUUCUGCUUGUGAUGUAACUUAGUAAUCUACUGUACUUUGGUUUCGUUUUGUGAAAUAAGUAUAACAUUCGAGAUUCUUUUCUGACAAUUAGUAAAACGUUUUUAAGUUAAGAAGCCGAAAUUUACAUUUGAGUAGUUCAUGGUGGAAAUCAAUUUUCUUUGCCAAAGUGGACGCGAAUGUGUGGCUGCCAAAAAAACAUUGUGACCACGUGAUCGACUGCAGCAGUGAUCGGACGUAUUAGAAUGCAGUUUAAAUAACCACACAUUGCAUUGCCAUGUUUUUCUUCUGUGACAGGGAGAAUGAUUGAAUGGAGACUGGUCAGAUGAGCUCAACUGCACUGGGACGACGUCUGACCUAACAUUGAAGCCUAUCAAAUACGAUUCACUGUGGGGGUAAAGUGUGCAUCCCUCAAGACUGGGUCUGUGAUGGCUUGGUGUAUUGCUCUGAUGUGAAGGAUGAAUUACAUUGUAACACAACAACUUGCAAGAAAGGAUUUCAGUGUGGAAGAGAAUGUAUCUUAAACCAGUGGGUCUAUGAUGGUGUCAGACUGCGCAGGUGGAUCUUAUGAAAAAGAAUGUGGUCAUGAAGCAUUCAUGAGUCACAGUUGCUUACCUGAACAUGGCUGGUUCAGUUGUCUCAGCAAAGGAACUCAAUGUCUGCCCAUUAGUCGCGCUUGUGACGGUUUUGCAGAUUGUGACGAUCGGACGGAUGAAGGAGGCCAGUGUAAUUCGACUACAAGUUGCUCAAACAGUUGCCCAAAUGAUUGCCAUAAAACUCCUCGUGGUCCUGUCUGCUCAUGUCCCUCAGGCUAUCAUAUCAAUGGGACGACUUGUGUUGAUAUCGAUGAAUGCUCGAUGGAUCACCCCACGUGCAGCCAACGUGUGCGAACAAACAAGUAGGAUUUGAAUGUUCUUGUUCUUCCGGUUAUACUUUUGGCACCCGUAAUAAUGGAAGUUGCGUUGCUACUGGGUCCGAACCAAUGCUGCUAAUUACAACUGAUCGAGAUAUUCACUACAUCGCCUUCCAAAGAGUAUGGACUCGUUCAAUCGGGCAUUUCCCGUGUCGCAGCCGACUAUGAAGAUGGGGUCGUCUACUGCAGUGAAAAGAGUAAGGACAAGGCAGGCAUUUACAAAUCCAUGUUAGAUGGAUCAGUUUUUCAGUACGUUGUUUCGGUUGGUGUGGAGUUGGUUGAAGACUUUGCGAUCAACUGGGUUGGAAGACAUUUAUUUCGCGGAGUCCGGCCGGAAUCACAUCGUCGUUUGCUAUUUUUAUGCUGUCAUUUGCAGUGUUGUCAUUAGUGGACAACUAGACAAACAUCGUGCCAUGGCCGUCUAUCCUGAAGAAAGUUUGCUUUUCCGGUCCAAAUUUGGGGUUUUAGUCAACACAUUGGUUUUGCUGGCAUGGAUGGAAGGAUCGCAGUAGACAAACGUAAUCACGACAGAUGUUAUCUGGUCAAAUGGAUUGGAUGAAACUAUUCAACGCAUAUAUUGGGGAGACGCUAAACUUAAUCGUAAUGAAAGUUUGUGGUUUGAUGGAUCUGAUCGUAAAAUCUUGCCCGUUAUUAAAGUGAUCUGUCCUUACACUCUCGACAUCUUUCAAACAAAAUCUUUUGGUGCGAUUCUCUGGAGCAUGAAGUUCUUUCCGCUAGAUUUGUAAAGUCAAUGACGGCAAGUUAAUCCCUUAAAUCCAACUUUUCCAGGUACUGUUCAAAGAAGUUUUGCUAACUCCAACUGGUAUCCAUGUUCAUCAUCCUUUCAAGCAAAGCCAUCUUACCAACCCCUGCCGAAACGUGAUUUGCAGCCAUCUGUCUUCAUUUCACCAACCCUACAAGGCUACAAGUGCGCUUGCCCUGUCGGCAUGACGUUGAACAAAGACGGCCGUACCUGCGACACUAUUUCCGUCCAUGAGUCUUGCAUCGUCAUCGCAACUUUCACUGACAUUUAUCGCAUGACUCAUUCCAUCCUUCGUCUGCCUACGCGUAACAUGGGAAACAUCGGUGCAUUGGCGUACAACCUAUUGGGCCCUUCAAUCGUCUACAUCGACAUGAUCCAGAGAACAAUCUACUCGAUGCAUCUGGAUACUUAUCAGCAGACAGUUCUCUUCGAAAACGUCGACAUGGUCUAGAGGUUGGACGUGGAUCCCUUCACGGUGAACAUUUACUGGACGGAAGUUACUCGGGGAACUGUCGUACUUGGUCGAAAGAAUCACGAUGGUAGUUACGACCGUUUAGUAUUGGCCCGAAAUCUUAACAGCCCACAAGGUAUUACCAUUGGAUCAUAAUCCGGUAGGAUGUUCAUCGUCGAGGGCCGCAUCAGUCACGUCAUCAGCGUCUGGCAUACGGAUGGAACUAACCGACAGGAGUUGGUCAAAGUUCAUGGAAUUGUAUCGACGAUGGCUUACGACGGCAAACAUCUCUACUUCAGCGACUCCCUGCGAGGUACAAUUGAACGGAUCGAAGUCAACGGUGAAAAUUGAACCAUCCUUCGCUCUCAUCUGGGCACUCCGGUUUCCAUGGACGUCGAUGCAGAUUCCGUCUUUUGGCUGACUCAAUCCUCCACUCGCAUCAGCUGGUUGAACAAGCAAGAUCCGAAAACUAUGCCUGGCUUCGUUAUCGACGCUUCCGAGAACAUAACCGUUGAUUAUCGGUUGAUGGUCGUUGUAGACCUUUUUAACAUCGAAAGCCAUAAGCAUCCGUGCGUGGGAUGUUCUGGAGGUUGCAGUGAUAUUUGCGCACCAACACCUGAUGGUCACUUGCCUAUGUCCGUUGAUUAAGGUUUUGGUAGAAGAUAAACGAGUCUGCAAUCCAUCCGACUGCAUUGGUGAUCACUGGUUUAAAAGUAAUAUCGGUUGUAUUCCCGCCAAGUAUCGAUGCGACGGAGUCAACGAUUGUGCCCUAGGUGAAGAUGAGCUUCAGUGCCGCAAUACUACAACAGAAGCAGGUUGUACCAGUUCACAGUUUCAAUGCCAAAACGACGGAUGUGUCUCCAACCAUUUCUACUGUUAUGGAGACGCCGACCGUCAAGAACGAUCUGACUCUUUGCUUUGUAACUUGAUUCCAUUGUCAACCUCAACCUGAUGUGCAUUUUCAAGUUAGAGAGGGGCACUUUGAUGGAGAUUGUGCAGACUUGCAACUGUAUUAUUUGCCUAUGUUUGUGUGUCCACGCAAUCUUGGCGAAAUGGUCAAUGUUGCCUUAUGGUUUUGAGGCAUAUUUUAUCGGCUGCAGUUUUCGAUAUUUCGUCUGUUGGUACUCCUGUAGCGGCGUUGAGAGGAGAUAGAAAAGUGACUGAAAUUUAAAACUGAUGUGUUAAAUUCAAAGUGCAUAUUUGUGCUGCUUUCCUAUCUGGUGUUUCUAAAAAAAAAAAAAAAAACUUUUCCUUGCUGAGAUAACCAUUAAUGGAGUGUUUUCCUCUUGGUAAUGUAGGAAUAUAGCCCUAAAUUACACAUUGAUGAAACGUUUUUGGAAUAAUAAAUCUUCUCUUUUCCCCUUCUUUUAACCACCUGUCAAUACCAAAUUCCAUUCAUUUAUGCAAUAGAUUUAUAUAUAAAAAAAUAGUCUUCCUAUUUUUAAAAUAAAAAUUCUUGCUUACUUUUGUACUCUUA